GGGACCCCAGCACGCAUAGGAAGGGUCGUGGGGACGCUCACAGGGGGCUCAGGGCAUCCGCACCUUGGGACCUGUGCUGGAUUGACCGUGGCUGGAUGCCGGGUACUUAUCACAGGCACUGUGUCACUGCACUCGUCAGCUGGACUGGGGAGAGAAAAUAUAACUAAAGGCUCGUGGGACGAGGAACUUUCAACACUGAUAUGUGACUUUGGAGGAAUCUUUGUCUAGUCAUGUUUUCAUUUCUAUUCCUUGAAGAUUUGCUGCUAAGCCAUUCCAAACCCAAAGCCUAACCAGUUAUAUUGAUGAUGCAAAGCCUCAUCCUGCAUAUGAGAAUAAACACCAGCCUGGCAGUAACACACAUCAGCUCCAGUUUGCCUCUUUUCUGCCAUAAUACACACACAUCUGUGGCACAAUCACAUCAGUUACUCUGUGCUGGUAGGGUUUUUUCAAGCAGGUUUUUUUUCGGUCUGACUCAGGAAAAACUCCGCAGACAUCACUGAGAAGUACAACAUGACGAAGGUUGAGUAGCAUUGCCAGAAGCUUGAAGACCUCCCCCAGGGAACACAUCUGGUUUUGUCUGCUUUGGAGAUAAACCAGUCCAGGAGAUAGCCCCAUGUACUGAGGACCACACAGACUCCCUGGCACUGUAUACACAACUUGAAGAACUGUGCUUUAACUGCUCUGUGGAAACCACAGUAAGUUCUCAUGUUGCUGAUAGUCAGGAAUUAAAAAUAAAAUGCUGUCUGUUAGUAAUGAAGCUGUUGCAAAAUAAAAAAAAUAUUUUGCUUAAUGAAGGUUAAAUAUUUGCCGUUUCUAACAGCAGUAAAUAUUUUCACCCCGAGCUUCCUAACUGGCUUCCUCUUCUACUCUGACUCACUCUGUUUUGUCACACUUCAGAAAUAUUUAAGCCUAGAAAAGUCUUUGAAGUUAUUUGUCAACUGUCUUACAAAUCCCUUUUAAACAAAAGGGACUGCAACACAUGGUUGUGUUUUCAGCUACAGCUAUCAAUCCAGACAUUCUCUCAACCAGGGAAACCUUGUGGAGUUUUCAUCUUAAGAAAAUAUGAUCAGCUUCAAAGAGUAGCAGGAUGCUAUCUGGUACCAAAAUGACACUAAGAAUGACUUUGAAGUCUCUUCUUCAUAAAUAGUCCCCAUGGUUUCAAUGCAAGUUUUUGCCAAGUAAGAAUCUAAAUCCUGUAUGAAAGAGAGUGAUAUAAGUUCUGUUCUGUAUAAAUUGCACCCUGUAUUUCAGCAUAAAGUUUAAAUGCCUGUAAUUUGAUUACCUAGUGUUUCAUGUUCAGGAAUAUGAUCUUUCUGCUUGGAAAGAUAAAAUUCUGAAAUACGAACAGAGAUAAAAAAGUGGGUUGAAAGCUGAUGCCUGUCUUGUUUGAAUGAACAGAUUCUGGUCAGACAAACUCACAUUACUGC